GCCUUCGUGGUGCAAUGGUCAGCACAUUCGGCACGUAUUCGAGAGGUCCAAGGUUCGAAUCCCGGCGAGGGCA
rfam:Stegodyphus mimosarum contig88581, whole genome shotgun sequence.